GCACCAAUGAACUUGCAUUCUCCUGAACAGAAAACGUGCUGCCACGGCGACAGAUGUCGUCGCUCCCCGGUGGUACUGGGGAUAACAUCAUCUAUGCCCUGCUGUGUGGUGGGGCCUUUGUUGGAGCAGUCGCCUAUACGUACAGCACUGUGACCACAGACCACGCCAGAUUCACCGACCGUGUGGCGGAUAUCAACGCUCGUCCCAAGGCUGAGUGGGUUCCCAAACCAUGGCCCCCCAAGAGCAGGGAUGAGGAAGAGGAGGGUGAGGAAGCAGUAGCCGAUGGAGAGGAGGAAGCAGAGGAGGCGGCGGCUGGAGAGGAGGCUGCAGCUGAAGAGGCUGUAGAGGCGGAAAACGUAGCAGAACCUGCUGAAGAGGCCGAGGCAGUCUCUGAAGAACCUGCUGUGGAGGCAGCCGUAGAGGAAGUGGCUGUAGUAGAAGCAGAGACUGUGGUGGAGGAGAUCGCAGAGGCUGUCGCCGAGGCUGCUGAAGUCAUCGUCGAGGUCGCUGAGGAGGUCGUUGAGGUGGCUAAGGAAGUAGAGGCGGCAGCAGAGGAAGUGGUCAUAGUGGCCGAGGCUGUGGAGGAUGCUGCAGAGGCCAUUGCCGUGCCCACCAUCGCCGAGGAAGCAGUUGCUGUGGCAGAGCUAGAGAGCAAUGUGGCACCAGUCGCUAUGGCAGCAGCCUCUGCUUUGGCGGUGGCAACAGUCGCUGAAGUAGUUUUAGAAGUCAAGGAGGCUGCCCCAGUGGAGGCCCCAGCUGCAGAAGAAGCAGCUCCAGUCGAGGCCGCACCCAUAGAAGAGGCUCCAACUGCAGUCGAAGAAGCUCCAAUUGAGGCUGCCGCAGCAGAGAUUGUGGAGGCAGACGCUGCACCUGUGGAGGCAGACGCUGCACCUGUGGAGGCAGACGCUGCACCUGUGGAGGCAGAAGCUGCACCUGUGGAGGCAGACGCUGCACCUGUGGAGGCAGACGCUGCACCUGCGGUGGAAGAGGCGCCAGCUGCGGUGGAAGAGGCGCCAGCUGCGGUGGAAGAGGCGCCAGCUGCUAAGGAGUACAUUGUAGUGGUGCUGGAGGGAGCGAGCAAGUCAGACAAGAGGCCCAAAGUCCUGGGGGUUGGCCCCAUGACCGGCAGGAUGAUCCCAGACGAAGAUGAGGCCCCUGCUGCUGAGGUAACAGGUAAUUUGACAAAUAAACAGGAUGCAACUGAUCAGGUAGCCUAG
rnacentral:lncRNA from 1 species